rnacentral:rRNA from 1 species
UACGUAGGGUGCAAGCGUUGUCCGGAAUUAUUGGGCGUAAAGAGCUCGUAGGCGGUCUGUCGCGUCGGCUGUGAAAACCCGGGGCUCAACCCCGGGCCUGCAGUCGAUACGGGCAGACUAGAGUGCGGUAGGGGAGACUGGAAUUCCUGGUGUAGCGGUGAAAUGCGCAGAUAUCAGGAGGAACACCGGUGGCGAAGGCGGGUCUCUGGGCCGUAACUGACGCUGAGGAGCGAAAGCUAGGGGAGCAAACAGG